rnacentral:lncRNA from 1 species
UAAACUCAAGCACCUCGACCUCAUCUUCUUAACUUGGAACAGACUAUCCGGUCCAAUUCCUGAAUACAUCAGCGAGCUCAAAAGCGUUACGUUCUUGGACAUCUCCUUUAACAAGUUUACCGGUCCUAUUCCCGGUUGGCUUACUCAGAUGCCGAACCUUCAGACCUUUCAGGCCGACAACAAUUCGCUAACCGGUCCUAUACCGAACUCUUUCGGUUCCUUUGUAGGCAACGUCCCUAAUCUUUUCUUGCCUUACAAUAAGCUCUCAGGUAUACCAAUUUUUUUUUUUCAAUUAUACUAUUUCAUAAUAUAAGUAGUUUAGGAAUUUUUUUUUAUAUUACAAAAUAUAAUUAAGUAGUUUUGAGAUUUGUAUUCACUUUUUACAUUUAUGUGACCAAUUAUGAAAACAUUUUUAUGAUUAGUUAUGAAAAAGUUAAAUAUAUUUAAAAUAGAUUAAAUAUUAUUUUUUGACAAGUAAUAAUUUUCUCAACCAUUGUACUUUCACUAAAACACAGUACAUUUUGAAACAUAUGAGGCGGAGUAUAACUUUAGAUUUAACUAUUUGAUCUAUAGAUACACCAGUUUGAGAUUUCUUAAAAUAUGAAGUAUUUUUAGAGACCGUAUUAUUAAUUAUUUUCAGCAUCAAAUUGUUAUUAUUAUUAUUGAUUACUAAAUCAAAUUCAUUAACAUUGCUCUGGCAGGAAAAAUACCGGAGUCGUUGUCAAAGAUUGACUUUCAAGCAGUAGUUCUGACGGGAAACAGUUUCACAGGAGAUGGUUCAAUGUUUUUCGGAGGGAACAAAAGAACAGUACAAGUGGAUCUAUCGAGAAACAAGUUUGAGUUCGAUCUCUCCAAAGUUAAGUUCGGUAAGAGCAUGGCUUUGUUGGAUCUGAGCCAUAACCGAAUCUUCGGGAAACUUCCUAGGGAGCUGACCGAGCUACAUCUCCAGCGUUUCAACAUUAGUUAUAAUCGUCUCUGCGGAAAAAUCCCACGUGGUGGUAAACUUCAGACCUUUAAAUCAUAUGAGUUCGCUCAUAACCGCUGUCUUUGUGGGUCACCGCUUAAGAAGGCUUGUUAAAUUGAUUUGUUUAGUGGCGUGACAACAAAUAAUUACGUUUUAUCUGUACGAUGAUGGUUGCUCAAAAAAAAACUUGUACGAUGAUGAUGUGUUAAUUAUCACUGCUUAUCAAAUGAAUUGUUCCUUUGAGGAAUUAAUUAAUGCUGUUGUAUCAUUUGUUCUUCUUUUUUAAGAAUAACGUUCCUGUUGCUUUUAUCUGUACGAUGAUGGUUGCUCAAAAAAAACUUGUACGAUGAUGAUGUGUUAAUUGUCACUGCUUAUCAAAUGAAUUGUUCAUUUGAGGAAUUAAUGUUGUUGUACCAUUUGUUCUUCUUUUUUAAGAAUAACGUUCCUGUUGCUUUUGAAAGUGUUGGGUAUAUUAGUGGUUCAUUAGCUGGACUGAAAAUGAUUUUGGCCAUUGUAUCAAAGAUCCUUGAUAAAGAUAAUUUAAUUGUGAGAAGUCUUUUAAAAUUAUUUUUGAUAAAGAUAUUCUAAAAUAUAUGUAGGCUCGUACAAUGUAGAUUCCCGCCAGGUAUGAAACUCACGUUUAUUUCUAUAAUAAUUAGUAGUUGAUUAAAUGGCAGCCUAGGGCUAUAAUCAAGAUCUUAUUCACAUUAGAAUAUUCGUUGAUCACUUUUUAAAUUACUAGAGGAACGACGCACACCCAAGUUGUUCACAUUAUUUAAUAACAUGAUAUAAAAAUUCUUCACAUUCAAAGUAAAAUAUUUAUUGACUUUUGAAAUACGAUGUUUUUAGCUAAUUAACACGAGAUAUGUAAAUACAUUUCACAUCAUGCACAUAAAAAUGAAAAAAAAAAGAUAAUCACAGACACUUUAUACUAAAAUAAUCAUACGAGGGAGGACUUCUAACCUGAUUCCGAACCGACGAUAUAUGUAGUAGACGACUAAGUCUUUGCUCAUUUAUUUAAGUUCAUGUUUUGCAAAAUAAGAGGAGAAGAAUUAGUCUUCCUUGUGUUCAGGAACCAAACAAACAUAGUUAUUGAUUUAUAUUGCCAGCAUAUUGCUUUUAGAACCAUGAAAACUCUGGUAUAUAGUAGCUUCACUGCGUCAAAAUAACCACUCAUAUCACAAUGAAGCUCCUUAUUCGUCUCUUUAUCUUCUUCGCUGCACUCUUCAUCUCUUCUCUCCCAUCAUCUUACAGCUGCAACCCAAAAGACAAAAACACCCUCCUUCAAAUCAAGAAGCAUUUUAACAACCCGAAACUCCUCUCCUCCUGGGAUCCUCAAACCGACUGUUGUACUAGCUGGACCGGCAUUGAGUGCACUAACGGCCGCGUCACAUUAUUCUCUAUGGCCAGCGACGACAGUGUCGUCGGUCAGAUCCCGGACCAGAUCGGCGACCUCCCUGAACUCCGUACACUCGAAAUGAGUUCCAUAAAUCUAACCGGAAACAUACCACGCACCAUCACCAAACUCAAGCACCUCGUCCUCAUCUUCUUAAGCUGGAACAAACUAUCCGGUCCAAUUCCUGAUUACAUCAGCGAGCUCAAAAGCGUUACGUUCUUGGACAUCUCCUUUAACAAGUUUACCGGUCCUAUUCCCGGUUGGCUUACUCAGAUGCCGAACCUUCAGACCUUUCAGGCCGACAACAAUUCGCUAACCGGUCCUAUACCGAACUCUUUCGGUUCCUUUGUAGGCAACGUCCCUAAUCUUUUCUUGCCUUACAAUAAGCUCUCAGGUAUACCAAUUUUUUUUUUUCAAUUAUACCAUUUCAUAAUAUAAGUAGUUUAGGAUUUUUUUUUUAUUACAAAAUAUAAUUAAGUAGUUUUGACAUCUGUAUGCACUUUUUACAUUUAUGUCGCCAAUUAUGCAAACAUUUUUAUGAUCAGUUAUAAGAACUAAGACGGUUAAAUGUUUUCUUAAUCAUUGGACUUUCACUAAAAGACCUAGAGCAUCAUUAUUGGUAAGCUUUAACAUAGUCUCACCAUUAUAUUAUUGAUUAUUUUCAGCACCAUUGUUAUUAUUAUUAUUAUUGAUAAUUUAGUAAAUCAUACUCCUUUUGUUUCUCAAAAAGUGUCAGUUUGAUAAAUUUCAAGCCGAACAUCCAAUAACAUUGCUCUGGCAGGAAAAAUACCGGAGUCAUUAUCAAAGAUCGACUUUCAAGCAAUAGUUUUGAAGGGAAAUGGUUUCACAGGAGAUGGUUCGAUGUUUUUCGGAGGGAACAAAAGAACAGUACAAUUGGAUCUGUCGAGAAAUUUGUUUGAGUUCGAUCUCUCCAAGGUUAAGUUCGGUAAGAGCAUGGCUUUGUUGGAUCUGAGCCAUAACCGAAUCUUCGGGACGCUUCCUAGGGAACUGACUGAGCUACGUCUCGAGCGUUUCAACAUUAGUUACAAUCGUCUAUGCGGAAAAAUCCCACGUGGUGGUCAACUUCAGACCUUUAAAUCAUAUGAAUUCGCUGAGAACCGCUGUCUUUGUGGGUCCCCACUUAAGAAGGCUUGUUAAGUUUGUUUUAAUGGCGUGACUACAAAUAACUACGUCUUAUCUGUACGAUGAGGAUGUGUUAAAUAUCACUGCUAUUAAAGAAUUGUUCCUUAGAUGAAUUAAUGCUGUUGUAUCAUUUGUUCUUUUUUAAGAAUAACAUUCUUUUUGCUUUCAAAAGUGGUAUAUUUUGAUCAAAAAAAAAAGAAGAAAGUGGUGGGUAUCUCUAGUAUCCACUUGUUUGGCCGUUGUAUUUGUUUCUAUCUUGACACACAGCAACCGUUUUAAAGUUCAUACACUACACUCCACUAUUAACGCAAUUUUUCACACUGUUUUUCUUUGGAAAGUAAGUCAUGUAUUUUGUUAGACUUGACGUAAAAAUAAUAACAUCAUACAUGCUAUUCAUAUCUCUAACAUCUAACAAAUUUGUCAUCAUCUGAUAUAAGUUCUCUGUGGGUACGUACACAAGUUAAUAUAGUGCAUGCAUGAAAAGGUAACCAAAGAUACUCUUUGUAGUAUCACGAGUUAAGUUCAAGUGUUACGAUUAGACUGAUUUUUGAGAGCCGUACAGAAUCCGUCCGAGGGAUCUAUGUGAUUGCAUCCCCAUGCAUUGAUUGAAUUGUUCUUUUUAUUUGCUUUAACUGAAACCUAAAAAAGUCUUGUACAUGUAGGAGGGGUACACGCUUCGAUGGUUGGGUCGCUUCAUCCAACAGAGUUGCAACACUUUUUCCUAUUUCCAUACUAUGCAGUUGCUGCAUUCUGUGAAGGGAGACUAAAGCAUGGAACUGUAGUGAAAAAAACAUCAUUGUCACAAAUUUUUAAAAAUAUUGGAUGCUGACUGUAUGAGUGUGAUUGGUGUUGAUAGGAUGGUGGAUACAUACAGAAACACUCUGUCUUGGAGCUUCAAAAAGUAUGGCUAGGCUCAUAAGUGAGUUCAUAUCAUGCAUGCACACAAAAAUGAAAUAUGAACAUGCAUUUUAACAACCCGAAACUCCUCUCCUCCUGGGAUCCUCAAACCGACUGUUGUACUAGCUGGACCGGCAUUGAGUGCACUAACGGCCGCGUCACAUUAUUCUCUAUGGCCAACGACGACAGUGUCGUCGGUCAGAUCCCGGACCAGAUCGGCGACCUCCCUGAACUCCGUACACUCGAAAUGAGUUCCAUAAAUCUAACCGGAAACAUACCACGCACCAUCACCAAACUCAAGCACCUCGUCCUCAUCUUCUUAAGCUGGAACAGACUAUCCGGUCCAAUUCCUGAUUACAUCAGCGAGCUCAAAAGCGUUACGUUCUUGGACAUCUCCUUUAACAAGUUUACCGGUCCUAUUCCCGGUUGGCUUACUCAGAUGCCGAAGCUUCAGACCUUUCAGGCAAACAACAAUUCGCUAACCGGUCCUAUACCGAACUCUUUCGGUUCCUUUGUAGGCAACGCCCCUAAUCUUUUCUUGCCUUACAAUAAGCUCUCAGGUAUACCAAUAUUUUUUUUUCUCAAUUGUAAUAUUUCAUAAUAUAAGUAGUUUAGGAUUUUUUUUAUAUUACAAAAUAUAAUUAAGUAGUUUUGACAUCUGUAUGCACUUUUUACAUUUAUGUCGCCAAUUAUGCAAACAUUUUUAUGAUCAGUUAUAAGAACUAAGACGGUUAAAUGUUUUCUUAAUCAUUGGACUUUCACUAAAAGACCUAGAGCAUCAUUAUUGGUAAGCUUUAACAUAGUCUCACCAUUAUAUUAUUGAUUAUUUUCAGCACCAUUGUUAUUAUUAUUAUUAUUGAUAAUUUAGUAAAUCAUACUCCUUUUGUUUCUCAAAAAGUGUCAGUUUGAUAAAUUUCAAGCCGAACAUCCAAUAACAUUGCUCUGGCAGGAAAAAUACCGGAGUCAUUAUCAAAGAUCGACUUUCAAGCAAUAGUUUUGAAGGGAAAUGGUUUCACAGGAGAUGGUUCGAUGUUUUUCGGAGGGAACAAAAGAACAGUACAAUUGGAUCUGUCGAGAAAUUUGUUUGAGUUCGAUCUCUCCAAGGUUAAGUUCGGUAAGAGCAUGGCUUUGUUGGAUCUGAGCCAUAACCGAAUCUUCGGGACGCUUCCUAGGGAACUGACUGAGCUACGUCUCGAGCGUUUCAACAUUAGUUACAAUCGUCUAUGCGGAAAAAUCCCACGUGGUGGUCAACUUCAGACCUUUAAAUCAUAUGAAUUCGCUGAGAACCGCUGUCUUUGUGGGUCCCCACUUAAGAAGGCUUGUUAAGUUUGUUUUAAUGGCGUGACUACAAAUAACUACGUCUUAUCUGUACGAUGAGGAUGUGUUAAAUAUCACUGCUAUUAAAGAAUUGUUCCUUAGAUGAAUUAAUGCUGUUGUAUCAUUUGUUCUUUUUUAAGAAUAACAUUCUUUUUGCUUUCAAAAGUGGUAUAUUUUGAUCAAAAAAAAAAGAAGAAAGUGGUGGGUAUCUCUAGUAUCCACUUGUUUGGCCGUUGUAUUUGUUUCUAUCUUGACACACAGCAACCGUUUUAAAGUUCAUACACUACACUCCACUAUUAACGCAAUUUUUCACACUGUUUUUCUUUGGAAAGUAAGUCAUGUAUUUUGUUAGACUUGACGUAAAAAUAAUAACAUCAUACAUGCUAUUCAUAUCUCUAACAUCUAACAAAUUUGUCAUCAUCUGAUAUAAGUUCUCUGUGGGUACGUACACAAGUUAAUAUAGUGCAUGCAUGAAAAGGUAACCAAAGAUACUCUUUGUAGUAUCACGAGUUAAGUUCAAGUGUUACGAUUAGACUGAUUUUUGAGAGCCGUACAGAAUCCGUCCGAGGGAUCUAUGUGAUUGCAUCCCCAUGCAUUGAUUGAAUUGUUCUUUUUAUUUGCUUUAACUGAAACCUAAAAAAGUCUUGUACAUGUAGGAGGGGUACACGCUUCGAUGGUUGGGUCGCUUCAUCCAACAGAGUUGCAACACUUUUUCCUAUUUCCAUACUAUGCAGUUGCUGCAUUCUGUGAAGGGAGACUAAAGCAUGGAACUGUAGUGAAAAAAACAUCAUUGUCACAAAUUUUUAAAAAUAUUGGAUGCUGACUGUAUGAGUGUGAUUGGUGUUGAUAGGAUGGUGGAUACAUACAGAAACACUCUGUCUUGGAGCUUCAAAAAGUAUGGCUAGGCUCAUAAGUGAGUUCAUAUCAUGCAUGCACACAAAAAUGAAAUAUGAACAUUGCAUACACUUCAUACUAAAAUAAUCUUACGAGAGAGAGACGUGGAUAUUGGAUUGAUGAAACAUUGAAGCGAACCGGAGGACUUCUAACCGUACCAAGAUUCGAACAUACGGUAUAUGUAGUAGACGACUAAGCCUCUGCUCAUUUAUUUAGGUUCAUGUUUUGCAAAAUAAGAGGAGAAUAAUUGGUCUUCCUUGUGUCUAGGAACCAGACAGACAUAGUUUUUUUGAGUUCUAUUGCUUUUGGAACCAUGCCUCACUGCGUAAAAAAAUAACCACUCAAAUCACAAUGAAGAUCCUUCUUUGUCUCUCUAUCUUCUUCAUCUCUUCUCUCCCAUCCUCUUACAGCUGCAACUCAAAAGACAAAAACACUCUCCUUCAAAUCAAGAAACAUUUUAACAACACGGAAUUCCUCUCCUCAUGGGAUCCUCAAACCGACUGUUGUACAAGCUGGACAGGCAUCGAGUGCACUAACGGCCGCGUCACAUUAUUCUCUAUGGCCAACUACAGAACCCUCUACGGUCAGAUCCCUGACCAGAUCGGUGACCUCCUUGAACUCCGUACACUCGAAAUGAGUCACAUGAAACUAACCGGAAACAUACCACGCACCAUCACCAAACUCAAGCACCUCGUCUUCAUCUUCUUACUGUGGAACAAACUAUCCGGUCCAAUUCCUGAUUACAUCAGCGAGCUCAAAAGCGUUACGUUCUUGGACAUCUCCUUUAACAAGUUUACUGGUCCUAUUCCCGGUUGGCUUACUCAGAUGCCUAAGCUUCAGACCUUUCAGGCCGACAACAAUUCGCUAACCGGUCCUGUACCGAACUCUUUCGGUUCCUUCGUAGGCAGCGUCCCUAAUCUCUUCUUGAAAAACAAUAAGCUCUCAGG